AGGGGUUUCGAUGCCCUUAGUGCCGAAGUUAACACAUUAAGCACUCCGCCUGGGGAGUACGACCGCAAGGUUGAAACUCAAAGGAAUUGACGGGGGCCCGCACAAGCAGUGGAGCAUGUGGUUUAAUUCGAAGCAACGCGAAGAACCUUACCAGGUCUUGACAUCCUUUGACCACCCUAGAGAUAGGGCUUUCCCCUUCGGGGGACAAAGUGACAGGUGGUGCAUGGUUGUCGUCAGCUCGUGUCGUGAGAUGUUGGGUUAAGUCCCGCAACGAGCGCAACCCUUGAUCUUAGUUGCCAGCAUUUAGUUGGGCACUCUAAGGUGACUGCCGGUGACAAACCNGGAGGAAGGUGGGGACGACGUCAAAUCAUCAUGCCCCUUAUGACCUGGGCUACACACGUGCUACAAUGGAUGGUACAAAGAGCAGCAAAACCGCGAGGUCGAGCCAAUCUCAUAAAGCCAUUCUCAGUUCGGAUUGUAGGCUGCAACUCGCCUACAUGAAGCCGGAAUUGCUAGUAAUCGCGGAUCAGCAUGCCGCGGUAGAUACGUUCCCGGG
rnacentral:rRNA from 1 species